UGUAAAUAGAAAAUAAUUUGUGAAAACUAUUGGUUUCAGAAUGUCCCCGCGCCAAGUUUACACAUAGUAAAAAUUCUAACAAGGAAUAUUUCAAAUGGGAGAUUUCGGGAUGAAUGAAAAAAAUCAUCAUCUGCCUUCCUGAUGUAUUCUCACUGUUUUGCUGCCAAGUUUCGGCAUCUUCAGUUUUGUGGUUUGAUGUAGCAUUACUGCAGGCCAGAGAAUGACUGGAGUUCAAUCAAGGGUUUGUGUAUGUGACCAGAGUUAAGUAGUGAAAUCUUGGUGACUGUCAUUAGCUCAAGUCUGAAGCUUAAAAUGGGAAUGAAGAUGGAAGACAAGUCAUAUCCCUGUGAAUAUUGUGAAAAGACAUUUAGUUACAUUUCAUGCUGGAAGAUACAUUUGACGACACAUACUGGAGAAAAACUGUAUUCUUGUGAAAUUUGUAAAAAGUCAUUUUCUCAGAGUGCAAAUUUGAUAGUUCAUUUGAGAAUGCACACCAAAGAAAAGCCGCAUUCUUGUGAAAUUUGUAAACAGACAUUUUCUCAGAGUGGAAGUCUGAAGAGACAUUUGAGGACACAUACAAAAGAAAAACCAUAUUUUUGUGAAAUUUGUAAAAAGUCAUUUUCUCAGAGUGGACAUUUCAAAAUCCAUUUGAGGACACAUACAAAAGAAAAACCAUAUUCUUGUGAUCUUUGUAAGAAGUCAUUUUCUCAGAGUGGACAUUUCAAAAUUCAUUUGAGGACACAUACUGAAGAAAAACCGUGUUCUUGUGAAAUUUGUAAAAAAACAUUUUCUCAUAGUGAAAAUCUGAAGAUGCAUUUGAGGACACAUACAAGAGAAAAAUCAUACACUUGUGAAAUUUGUAAAAUGUCAUUUUCUCAGAGUGGAAGUCUAAAAAGUCAUUUGAGGACACAUACAAAAGAAAAACCAUAUUCGUGUGAAAUUUGUAAAAGGUCAUUUUCUCACAGUGGAAGUUUAAAGAGUCAUUUGAGGACACAUACAAAAGAAAAACCAUAUUCAUGUGAAAUUUGUAAAAAGUCAUUUUCUCACAGUGGAAGUUUGAAGAGGCAUUUCACGAUACAUACUAAAGAAAAACCACAUUCUGGAGAAAUUUAAAAAGUCAUUUUCUUUGAGUGAACAUUUAAAAAUUCAUUUGAAAGCUCACACAAGAGAAAAACCAAAUUCUUGAAAAGUUUAAAAAGGCAUUUCCUCAAAAUCAAAACUUAAAA